rnacentral:rRNA from 1 species
CCUACGGGGGGCAGCAGUAGGGAAUCUUCCACAAUGGACGAUAGCCUGAUGGAGCAACGCCGCGUGAGUGAAGAAGGGUUUCGGCUCGUAAAGCUCUGUUGGUAGGGAAGUAAGAUAGAGGUUGUAACUGGCUUUUCUUUUACGGUAAUUACUUAGAAAGUCACGGCUAAAUACGUGCCAGCAGCCGCGGUAAUACGUAGGUGGGAAGCGUUGUCCGGAUUUAUUGGGCGUAAAGGGAGUGGAGGCGGUUCGAUAAGUCUGAUGUGAAAGCCUUCGGCUCAACCGGAGAAUUGCAUCUGAAACUGGUGUACUUGAGUACAGUAGAGGUGGGUGGAAUUCGAUGUGUAGCGGUGGAAUGCGUAGAUAUAUGGAAGAACACCAAUGGCGAAGGCAGCUCUCUGGACUGCAACUGACGCUGAGGCUCGAAAGCAUGGGUAGCGAACAGGAUUAGAUACCCCUGUAGUC